rnacentral:rRNA from 1 species
AUUGAACGCUGGCGGCAGGCCUAACACAUGCAAGUCGAACGAGUGGCGGACGGGUGAGAAAUGUCUGGGAAACUGCCUGAUGGAGGGGGAUACCUACUGGAAACGGUAGCUAAUACCGCAUACCAUCGGAUGUCCCCAGAUGGGAUUAGCUAGUGGGUGGGGUAACGGCUCACCUAGGCGACGAUGCCUAGCUGGUCUGAGAGGAUGCCCAGCCACACUGGAACUGAGACACGGUCCAGACUCCUACGGGAGGCAGCAGUGGGGAAUAUUGCACAAUGGGCGCAAGCCUGAUGCAGCCAUGCCGCGUGUAUGAAGAAGGCCUUCGGGUUGUAAAGUACUUUCAGCUGGGAGGCGUUACCCGCAGAAGAAGCACCGGCUAACUCCGUGCCAGCAGCCGCGGUAAUUC